ACCAACAUCCAUCCCCAAUCUCUUCCGGUGGCAGCCACUCACUCCAUCAUUCUUUUCACGAUCACUUCCUUCCACCACCAUGAAUGACCCGAGGUAUGCCUACCCGUACCCUGCUCAAGGUUAUUAUCAGGGGCCGCCAGUGAUGGCACCACCUCAGUAUGCAGCUCCACCACCAAGAAGAGAGCCGGGUUUUCUCGAAGGAUGCCUCGCUGCUCUGUGCUGUUGCUGUCUGAUAGACGAGUGCUGCUGCGAUCCAUCCGUCAUAUGCGUCGGCUGAAUACCUUCUUUCGAUAGCAUAUCCAUGCAUCUCAUCAUGUGAACAUUUGCAGCUCUAAUAACAUAUCCAUAUCAUGAUGCUGUUGUU